AUUAGGCAUAUUAUAUAAUUGCUUAUGAUAUUAUGCUUCUUUAAUAGCAGAUAUGUUAUUAGACAUAUUAUAUAAUUGCUUAUGACAUUAUGAUUUCUUUAAUAGGAUAUAUAUUACAUUAUGACACUAUUGUUUAAGUAGCAGAUAAAUUUCAGUUUAUAUUUUAUUUAUUAUUUUCUAAUUUUUUGAAUUGAUAAUUAUGUAUAUUCAUAAUAUUUUAUCGACUGCCAUAUCCCUGUGGCGGUUUUUGGGUUGGCCGUCAUGCGCCAUCAAUAACAUAGUUGAUUACUAGUAUUCUUUAUGACAAAUUUCUCUUAUUUUCGCCGAGGAUUAUGGAAUAAUUGGAAUACAUCAUUUGCCGUAAUAUGAUCAUCAACAUGCUCAUGCUUAGUGGAAAGAAGCCUACUAUUGCAGUGCCAACUGAAAUGAGUUUGGAAGAGAUUUAGAGCAGAUUAGGAUCCCUUAUUCCAGUAGAGACGAUUACUCUAAGAGGUGUUGCGUUGAAAGAGCGGCUUGAAGGUAUUACAGGAAGAGUAGCUGACAUAAAGACUCGUGCUCAAGCCAUGAAGUGUCUUUCCACCUUUAGUGAAGCUGUGGGUCCUGAUUUUACUUUUGAGAGGGUCAUUUGAAAAAUAAUCUAAAAUCUCAGAUUGGGGAUUCAGGCCCUGAUAUCUGUAUUGGUGUGCCAACAUCGCAAUGUUGUGGAGCAAUUUGGUAAAUUUGUCAUAUUGGGAAACACGUUUGUAUAAAAUUAUGAAGGAGUGGAAGAAUCCAAAGGUUCUUAGAGAAAAGCCUAUCCUGAUGGUAUCUGUAGUGGACGACUUUGUUACUUCUCAUAUUAAGCUGAAGGAUUUAAUUGACUUUUGCAGGGACGUCGGAUUACAAUCAAUAUAGUGACUUUUGCAGGGACGUCGGAUUACAAUCAAUCUAGUGCAGCUGCAACUAGAAAUGCUACAGUUAAACUUGUCCUUCAUAAUUUUGUUGGUCCAGGGAUAUUCUAUCCGAGGUUAAAACUUCUUUACUAAGUACUCUUGUUGACACCGAGUAUGAAAAGUUCCUGUACGAGGCAUCUGUAGCUCCAACUAAGUCUACAUCAUCUGCGGUGACUGGUGGCAUGGAUGGUCUUCCACGUGAAGAUAUCAGUGAAAGGAUCAGCCCCACGUGAAGAUAUGUUUGUUAAUCAUCAAAUCUGUGAAUGAUUUAAGAGGGCAUGCUGUCAAUCUGAAUUUAUUUUUCUGUCAAAGUCUGCUUGGAAUCUAUUGAAAGUGUAACCAAAAUUCUGGAAGAGGCGAACAAACGUAUUCUGCCGGGUGGACUGGCCAGUUGAGAAGUCAAGCAAGCUACCAUAUAUUACAGCUGUUCUCACAUACGCCAAAGUAGGCGCAGAAGAGCGCAAGAUUUUUUUGAUUGGCUAUCAAGAAAGCUUCCUAGUUUGUUGGCUGAGUUUCCUGAUGUAGGUGUUUGUGUCAACUUUAUGUCUCAAGAAAUAUCUUGGUUACCUAUCCAGGAUAAAUCAGUAGAUGUUCGUAAAUCGGCUGCAUGCUUUAAUGAAAUAUUGAGUGUUUGUGGACAAGAAACGGUAUCAAAAAAUUUGAGAGAUAUACAAGGUUCUGCUUAAGCUAUUAUUUGCUAACGACUGAAGACAUAUGAAGCUUUUCAAGAGAGUUGUACCUAACAAGGGAUACGGGCAAGAGUACAUCUUGCCUGCUCAAGACAUCAACACUAACCUGAAGGAUUCAACCAAGAAUGAUGUCAUGAAAUACUUUGAGAGGAUCUGAUCGGAGGCUCUUAAGUGCUGACUUCAAAAGCAAGUUGAUGGCAUUGAGAUCUUGCAGAAGGUACUUGAAUUUCUUCCCGAGCUUCUAGAUCUGUUCAAAAAUGAGGGCUGUGAGGCAACCAUCUUUCUUCCUUGCUUGGUUGAAAAGAGAUGGAGAAGAAGGCAAGCCUGGAGAAGCUAGAGUUGCCCUAAGACUACUCUCCAUUCGAGAAAAUAUGUGCAGAGAGUGUGUAUUUUUUAUAGUGUGUGUCGAGUGCAUGUAUUUUGUGU